rnacentral:lncRNA from 10 species
UGAGCCGAGAUCGCGCCGCUGACUGCACUCCAGCCUGGGCAGCAGAACAAGACUCCUUCUCUAAAAAAAAAAAAAUUAGUUUUAUCUAUUAACAUUCUGUGGAUAUUUAAUAAAACUGAAAGCAGUGCAGAAUCCCUUAACAACAACAAUAACAACAACAAUUCUAACAAUUCUAGAACUAUCUUAUGGACAACCAUUUGUAAAAUGAAAUGAAGAUAACCUGUUUUCUGGAGGAUACUGUGCAUUCUGUUAUUUAUACUCACAUAGUUUAAAUGAAGACCAAAAUAACAUCCAAGAAGUUUGAAUUCAGAUUCUUCACUUGCAGUAAGUUUAUGUAAAGAUAAACGGGAUACAUUUUGAGCCACUGACUCUCAAGGACUAAGGCAACAGUUUUCUUUCUUUCUUUCUUUCUUUUUUAAAUUUUGUUUUAAAGACCAAGAUGUUAAAGGAAAAAAAGGGAACUGAUAGAAGGUUACGAGUUUUUAAUUUUGCAUAGCUUACAGCAUAAGAAAUACCUAUCAUUUAUGGCUGGGUGUGGUGACUUAUGCCUGUAACCCAGCUCUUUGGGAGGUUGGGGCGGAUGGAUCGCCUUGAGCUCAUGAGUUUGAGACCAGCCUGGGUGAGACCCAGUCUCUACAAAGAAUACCAAAAAUUAGCCAGGCAUUGGUGGCUCACACCUGUAGUCCCAGCUACUCAGGGAGCUGAGGGGUGGAGAAUCGCUUGAGCCCAGGAAGCUGAGGCUGCACAGUGAACUGAGAUUGUGUCACUGCACCUCAGCCUGGGCAACAGAGUGAGACCCUGUCUCAGAAACAAAACAAAACAAAACAAAACCAAAAAAAAAAAAAAAGAAAGAAAGAAAGAAAGGAAGGAAAGGAAAGAAGGGAAAGAAAGGAAAGAAAGAAAGAGAGAGAGGCCGGGCAUGGUGGCUCACACCUGUAACCCCAGCACUUUUGGAGGCUGAGGCAGGCAGAUCACGAGGUCAGGAGUUUGAUUCCAGCCUGGCCAGUAUGGUGAAACCCCGUCUCUGCUAAAAAUACAAAAAUUAGUCAGGUGUGGUGGUGUGUGCCUGUAGUCCCAGCUACUUGGGAGGCUGAGGCAGAAGAAUUGCUUGAACCCAGGAGGCAGACCGAGAUCAUGCCACUGCAAUCCAGCCUGGGCGACAGAGCGAGACUCCAUCUCAAAAACAAAAAAAAAAAAAAAAAAAAAGAAAGGAAGGAAGAAUAAGAAAUAUCUAUUAUUUGCUAACAAUAUAUUAUAACAGAAAUGACAUUUAAUACAAAAAGAUGAAAUAACAUUUUAUUAUUCAGAAUAAAGUAAAACCCCAUCACAAAAUAGGAAGUUAGCAACUUUAUGGUGACAUAUUUCAGUCAAGGCAUCCCCCCUUACCCCGACAAAGGCUGCACAUACCUGAUUCAGGUAUUGCCUUGUUUUCCUCUUUUUCUUUGUUGAGAUGGGGUCUUGCCAUGUUGACCAGGCUGGUUUUAAACUCCUGGCCUCAAGCGAUCCUCCUGCCUUGACUUCCCAAAAGUGUUGGGAUUAGAGGUGUGAGCCACUGUUGCUCGGCCUUUUUCUCAUCUUGUUGCAGACAAGUGAAAACCCUGUUUGGUUGUCCACUGUUUUAAACCACACCUUGUCCAAUCAUUCCUUGAUAUGUUAAUUCUUUCUAUGGCAUCCUUUCCUCUGACUGAAUAUCUUCAAUGACAGAGAAUUUACCACUGCCUGACACAGGCUAUUUUGACAGCAGUGACUACUAAAACCACCCUCCUUCUUCUAGCACUGUUCCCAAAGUGCUUUCCUCUGACUAUGGUCCAGUUGUGGAUUAGGGAAAUAGAAUCAUGAAAAUAUCUACUUUUGGCCGGGAGUGAGCCUCAGCGCCUGGCCGGGACAAAGGCUUUGGAGCUACACAGGCAAGGUUUCCAGACCCAGUUCUGCCACUUCUUAACUUCGUGACACUGGGCAAGACGCUUCUCUUCUCUGAGGCUCAGCUUCAUCUUGGGGUUACUAAGAGGAUUAAAUGAGACAAUGCAUGUCUAACAUUUAGCCCAGUGCCUGGCACAUCUUAAGUGCUCAAUAACUGAUGGCUUAUAAAACAAAAACAAAAAGCAAGCAAACAACACUAACCCCCUCUUGCUCCUGCACUUGAGUAACCAACCCUAAAGGAUGGAACUUAUCAUUCUCCAAAAAUGCAGGCAACAACCAUGUGAACAUUUCCUUUUGGAGAACUGUAGUCAGUUUCCUUCCUGUUUCACUUUAUCAGUGGGUAGGGAUAAAGAAUUAAGGGACACACAGGCCAAUUACAAGUGACAUUUUCACAAACACAAUGAUCCCAUCAGGCUUAACUCUUCUAAAUUUGUCACAAAAAACAAUGGAAGGCCGGAUGUGGUGGAUCACCCCUGUAAUCCUAGUACCUUGGGAGGCUGAGGCAGGUGGAGCGCUUGAGCCCAGGAUUUUGAGACCAGCCUGGGCAACAAAAUGAGACCCUGUCUACAAAAAAUACAAAAAUUAGCUGGGAGUGGUGGUGUGUGCCUGUCAUCCCAGCUACUUAGGAGGCUGAGGUGGAUUGCUUGAGCCUGGGAAGCAGAGGUUGCAGUGAGCUGAGACCUCGACACUGCACUUAGCCUGGGCAUCAGAGUGAGAUCCUGUCUCAAAAAAACAAAACAAAACAAAACAAAAAAACCAAAAUAAAACCAAAAACAACAAAAAACUAAAAACAACAGAAGGCACCACAUUCCUAGUACCUUUAAGCAUUUCUGGGGUCAUGCUGAACAGUGUAAAAAUUUUAACCCACUAUUUUUCUCUUUCUCAUUAUACAAAUGAAACAAAUGUUCCUAAAUAUUUGGAAAGUUGAGAAACGUAUAAAGAAAUGGAGAAGGCCAGGCGCAGUGGCUCAUGCCAGUAAUCCCAGCACUUAGGGAGGCCGAGGUGGGUGGAUCACGAGGUCAGGAGUUCAAGACCAGCCUGGCCAAGACGGUAAAACCCCGUUUCUGCUAAAACUACAAAAAUUAGCGAAGCACAGUGGCAGGCACCUGUAAACCCAGCUUACUCAGGAGGUUGAGUCAGGAGAAUCACUUGAAGCCGGCAGCAGAGGUUGCAGUGAGCCAAGACUGCGCCACUGCACUCCAGCCUGGGCGACGGAGUAAGACUCCGUCUCAAAAAAAAGAAAAAAAAAAAAGAAGUGGGGGAAAAAAACCUACCCGUAUAUAUAAUCUCACUACCUAGAUGCAAUUUAAUACUAGUAACUUGAAUAAUUUCCUUCCAGUCUUUUUAUGCUAUAUAUUCAAUUUUAUAUCCCCUUUCCCUAUGUUUCCUCUCAUGACAUUUAAAAACAUUAUUUUAUUUGAUAAAUCUAGUUUUUCAUAGCUUUAGAAUAUUCUCCCAAUAAUGGUCAUAUUUAGGUUGUUUCCAAUUUUUUCUUAUUAUAUUAGCACUAUGCUCAUCUUUGUGACUAAAACCCUAUCUCAUUUUUUAUCCUUUUCUUAGGGUGACAAAUAAGAAUGUGUACUUUCUCUCUUUUUUUUUUAACACUCACAUGCUUAUAAUUGCUUGUUUAGUGCUGAGCUGCACUGAAUCUUUGUUAACUGAAUAGGUUAAAUGGUAUUUUAUUGCUGCUUUAUUAUAUAUUUUCUUGAUUAUUAGAAAGGUUAAAUAUUUUUUCAAUAUUAGCCACUUAUGGUAUCUCUUUUAUGAAUUCUUUUUUUCUUUUUUUCUUUUUUUUUGAGGCAGAGUCUUGCUCUGUCUCCCAGGCGGGAGUGCAGUGGCGCAAUCUUGGCUCACUGCAAACUCUGCCCCCCGGGUUCACGCCAUUCCCCUGCCUCAGCCUCCUGAGUAGCUGGGAAUACGCGCGCUGGUCACCACACCCGGCUGAUUUUUUUUGUAUUUUUAGUAGAGACGGGGUUUCACCGUGUUAGCCAGGGUGGUCUCGAUCCCCUGACCUCAUGAUCCGCCCGCCUCGGCUUCCCAAAGUGCUGGGAUUACAGGCAUGAGCCACCGCGCACAGCCUCUUUUAUGAAUUCUCUAAUCAUGUCUCUUUUAUCAUUUUCUUUCUUUCUUUUUUGAGAUAGAGUCUCGCACUGCCACCCAGGCUGGAAUGCAGUGGUGCUAUCUUGGCUCACUGCAACCUCCACCGCCAGGUUCAAGCUAUUUUCCUGCUUCAGCCUUCCAAGUAGCUGGGACUACAGGUGCACGCCACCAUGCCUGGUUAAUUUUUGUAUUUUUAGUAGAGACAGGGUUUCACCAUGUUGGCCAGGCUGGUCUCGAACUCCUAACCUCAGGUAAUCCACCUGCCUUGGCUUCCCAAAGUGUUGGGAUUACAGGCAUGAGCCACUCUGCCCAGUCUCUGUUUUCAUUUUCUAUCAGGGUUUACAUGUUUUUGUAUGAGCUCUCUAUAUAAAAUAUAUUAACCAUCUAAGAAUUUAUUACAAACAUUUGUUGUAUGAAUUGAAAAAUUAAUUCAUACUAUAUUCUCUUGAAAAUUAUGAUUUUAAUAUUCCUCCCAGAGUCUGAACCUGGCUGUCACUAUAGUCAUCUGUUCAAGCAGCCUACCUGAGAGUUUGAGCCAGAAUCUUCUUUUUUGGUUUUCAGUGGUACCUUUGUGCCUACAUUAAAAAAACAAACAAACACAAGAAGUCAGAACAUUAGAUGUGAAGGCCACAUAGUAUUAAAAACAAAUGGUUGAGGUGGGAGGUGGGAGUGAAGACUCUGGGAUUCCACUCCGGUCUCUUCAUGUAUUGUCUAUGUUGCGUUAACCUGUACUAACUUCACUGAGCUUGUUUAGUUAAUUGUAAACACAACUAUUUAUAGUCUAUAUACAUUAGUAACAGUCUAUAGUUCAUUUCUGUUUAAAAGUCUUUGCUAUUUAUUUAUUAGAUACAGAGUCUGGCUCUGUUGCCCAGGCUGGAGUGCAGUGGUACAAUCAUAGCUCACUGCAGCCUUGAACUCCUGGUCUCAGGCAAUCCGCCCACCGUGGCCUCUCAAAGUGUUGGAAUUACAGGUCUGAGCCAUCAUACCCAGCCUCUUUGCCAUUUCUUAUAUGAAGCUAUUGCUAAUUACCUAAAAUACCAAAACCAGCUCUUUGAGAGAUGCCCACAAAUAAUGUCUAUCCCACACAAAUUCCCAUUUUAAAAUCAGUUUUCCUUCUACCGUAAAAAUAUGGCAAUAUGGAUUAUUAUACAGCUUAAGUAUAAUGAUAUUAUUUGGUUUAUUUGAAUUAGGACAUAACAUAAUAAAAAAAAUUCUCUAUACUCACUUAAAACAUUUGCACCAGAGGUGGGAUAAUCCUCA